ensembl:lncRNA
GUUCUCGUUGUCCGGCAUGUGCUGAAGUCUGGGUGCUUUGUUUGUUGCUCGCCAGUACCGUGCGGGUGAGCAAACCAUACUAAGGAGAAGGUUAGACCUGAACCAGACCUGGUGAGCCCAGGGUCCUACCUGCUGGUGCACAGGUGCAUUGGGCCAAGAAGGCUGAACUGGUGACACGUAGUGGUCAGCAGGACAGCCACUGCUCUUUUUCUCCGACCAUAGUUUUAGUUUAGAUUGUGCUCAAGUGCCUCCAUCUUGCUCCCUCUAUUUAUAGAGAUAACACACUGAUAUUGUGCCCUUUUGAUGACCGUUGCUUCCCCCUCCCCCACUUCUAUUGUGUUGUGUCUUUUAACUAGGAUCAGUAAUCGUAUUUGAGUGUGUUGGUUUGUAGUGUUGCUUAUUUUAGCCUUUCUUAACAGUGUGCAGUGGUUUUAUUGUUGGAAGUGUCAUUGUGCCCCCGGUCAAUCACUACUGGUAUAAAUUAUUUGGAUGUGGUUUUAUAAAGUUAUUGUUUAAAUAAAAGUGAUAUUGCAUUGUACACGCAGAAGCCUCUGUCUGUCUAUGAUCUACCUCGUAUGGGGUUUUGGCCAAUAAGAUAAUUGAAUUCAGGGUCUCUCCCCUCCAAAGAGAGUGGCGUUGUCACGUCUGGAUACUAUUCCCAAAGUAUUUUAAGUGUCCAUUAGGUCACAUAUACAUCCCACAAACACCUUUUUUUGUUGACAUAGCAGUUGCUAGUAGUAGUUUAUUGGCUUAAGUGGACUUAUAAGACAAGACCUGCAAAGACCUGUACUUCAUUGACCACAUCCACUUUUUGCCAUAUCCCACCCUAUCGAGCUGCGAUUGGCUAAUUCUUUUUCCAACCAGGGUAAUAAUCUAAUGACCUCCUUGAAUCAUUCAAGAAAUGUCAAUAUUUUAAAAGACGGGCAACAUUGUAAAGGUCACAGUCAACUCCAAACAAAGUGGAAACCCGGAAUCCCAAUUUCUCUUUUCCAUUGCCUCUCACAUGAUGAAUUAUCAGCAACCCAUAUUCUCACCGAUGUGGGAGACAAAUGUGAGAUACGUGCCUAAAGCAUUACAGGGACGUGAUGGAACCAAAGCAAUCCAACCAGUCAGAGUCUGGGCGAUUACACACUGGUCCACAUAAUACAAGCCCAUUAUGUGAGAGCAGAUUAAUGAGCUCGCCAUCCAGAUUAAGGACGCUACUCCAUGGACACAGCCACUUGGUCAUGGUGGUAGUCGCGCGUUCUCUGUUUGCUAGUGGGCGAAACUGCCGUGCUGAUUUAGAGAGUUACCUGUAAAGCAAGAUGUCAAAAGAUAAGACAUUUCUUUAUACAAUCCUACAGAUGCUUUUUAUUCAGCAGUUUAAUAUCAGAUGUACUUACUGCUGCUAUUUUUUUCUGAACAUCCUUUACGUUUUUGGAUUUGUUUGUAAUUUGCAAUCUAGUAUUUUCAUCAUGCAUCGGAAAAGGCUGCCAAAGUGACUUUCGGGUACAUGUACAAUCGCACACAAAAACGAGGAGAGGAGACGCUGGCCGCUGGCAGUAUGUGCCGUGGUGACCAUUCCAUGGGGCAUAGCAAUCGGGUGGAUGUUCCUCGGGUCACAGCUGUCCCGCACAUGCUGCUGGUAGACUAGCCCCCUCCUCGUGCCUUUCCAUCAUCUAAGGUCCAAAUAUUUGAAUUUGAAACAGCCGUAACAGCCAAUGUGGCAGAUUGUCAAUGCGCCUUUGUCAUUCGUCAGCUGCUGAUCGCUCAUCGGUAGGGCUGCAUACUGUUUCACAUUGGAGCAGGUAUCGAUACCCGACACUGUCUUUCUUCAGUACUUGACACACUUUAUCAUAACAUAAAUGUAAUUUCAAUGUAGAGAAAAAGUACAAACUUCUCACCAUUAUCAUUAUGUUUAUUUAAUGAAAUCCCUCUUUAGCUCCCUACCUUCCGCAUGUCACAGUCAGUUUAUCUAGAGAUACGUUAUCUAUUUUUACUUAUCCAUUAACUUUGUUGCUUUCAGUUUCAACGAAAAUGUUACUCAUCCAUUAGGAUAAUUUCUGUUUUCGAGAAACAUUUAUCACUCAACCUUUUCCUUUUGACUUUUCAGUCAUGCGACUCUCAUGUCUUUCAAGCAGAAAAUGGACCCUGCGAUGCGAUAAUGGUAUGCUCAUUCAUCAUUGAUUCGUAGCUACACUAUUUGUAUGCAAAUGAUCAAUCAUUCAGAAAUGUACAGUUAAUUGUGUUCUCAGGGCAAUCUGUCACUGUGUGUACCUGUUGAGUCCACCAACAAUCCUCCAUCGGCGGGGUGAGUCUUUCACUGAGUUUCAUAAAUGAUAAACUUAUGAUUAUACGUUGAGGUAAUAACGGUAACAAUUACAAGAGGAGGGAGCUUAUUAAAUUCAUUUGAAUUAUCGUGGGUUUUAAUUUGAAUUUUUGUGUUUGGGAUUGAGUGUGCAGCCAAUGACAUAUGACUGCAGCACAAGGGACACGCCCAUCUGGAAGAUUGGAAGCGCUGAGCUGGAGAUGGAGCAGACAGACUUCCAUAUUUCCCAAAAUAUUAUAAUUUAUUAGUGCCUGAGCUGACUGAAAGUCGGGCGAAAGCCCUAUUGUGUUUCGAAGAAGUAUUAUUAUUACUUUACCACUUUAAUCGCACUUUUGAGGCCUUUAUCAUAUUCAAAAACUCUUGGCGUGCAAAUCAGAAGUGCGAAAAAUGUAGAUAUUCUUUGGGUUGCGGAUUUGGGGAUACAAAAAUGGGUCUCUUGCGCCCCCUGGAAGUGCUUCCUCUGGGGACAUUUUUCCCCAGUUUUCCUGAUUGACUUGAAAUUUUGCACACAGGUGCUGUUGGAUAUGCUCUACAAAAAAGUCAAUCAUGUUAUGCAAAUGAGCCUAGCAAGAUUUUCCGCCAUUUUGAAUUUUGUGAAAAACACGUUUUUUGCGAACUCCUCCCAGACGCUAGGUCAGAUUCUCACGAAAAUUUCAGGAAAUCAUUAUUGGGUCACUGCCAUCAGAAGAUAUUAAAAUGUAUCUCAUUGGGUUUCAAAGUUAUGGACCAAUUAAGGGGUGUGGCCUAAAAGUGAAAGACCUAUAACUUCAAAAGUAUUUGGCUUGUCCUCAUCCCGCUUGAUUUUUCCAGAAUAUUUGAACUUUAGGGGGCGCUGCAGUCGUUCUCUGAUAUAUUGCUGUUUUUUUUUAAAUUUCCAUUGUAUUUGGGAUUUACAAACGAACAAACUCCUCCUAGAAUUUAAACCCGACGCACUUCAUUUUUUGGGAAAAUUGAUACUGACAUCUGGAUGGUCAAAAGUAAAAUCAAUAGUUUUCGUGAAACUACCAGGGCGUGGCCAUUUUGGUCUAUUUUAUUGAAAACGUAAGAUGUUAUAACUCCAAGGAAUAUUUUUAUUUCUGGACGAAAUUUCUAAUUUCUAUUGUACGCCUUAAAGUAUUCCCAUGCAGUCCAUACAUCCAUCCAUCGUCAAACCGCUUAUCCUGCACACAGGGUCGCAGGGGGGCUGGAGUCUAUCCCAGCCAACUUCGGGCAAGAGACAGGGUACAUCCUGGACUGGUGGACACACCUACGGGUAAUUUAGAGUCCCCAAUCAACCUGAUCCCCAGAGCAUGUCUUUGGACUGUGGGAGGAAGCCGGAGUACCCAGAGAGAACCCACGCAGACACAGGGAGAACAUGCAGACUCCACACAGAAAGGCCACUGGGCGGAGUCAAACCCAGGACCUUCUUGCUGUGAGUUGACAGUGCUAACCAUCACACCACCAUGCUAACCAUCACACCACCGUGCCGCCCUAUUCUGCAGAAUCCUAUUCCUAUCCUAUCUGCUCCUCCGUCAUGUCGUUUUCCGCCGCGAUGCAGAGGGUUUUUGAUCAUGCCACUCCCGGAUGGGAGGCGGCCCGGGGACUGUUUGGGCUGCAGCAGGGAACGCGAUCCGUUUCCGACUAUUCCAUUGACUUUCACACGGGGAGAGUGACUGGAACCAAGCCUCCCUUCGCGAUGCCUUCUACCGCGGAUUAUCCAGCCGCGUAAAGGACGAAUUGGCAGCUCGGGAUCUCCCUGCUGGUUUAAACGCGUUGGUCGCUCUCUCCAUUCGGAUCGACGGCCGUCUGCGGGAGCGGAGAAGAGAGAGGGUCGCUUACGCAGCUUUAGGAUCACCGCCGGAAGGUGAAUUUAGAAAUGCCCUCUCGACCCCGAAUCAAGGCCGGCAAAUCUCCUCGACCGGGACCUGGCCAUCAAGAUGGGGAUUGAGCAAGUAGCUUUGGAAAGACCCAUCCGGGCCACGGCGUUGGACGGUCGGCUACUCUGCAGGGUUACCCAUCAAACCACCCCUCUGCGCUUGGAGAUGUCAGGUAAACACAGUGAAGCACUUACCUUUCAUGUACUUCAUGCACCUCAAAAACCAGUCAUUUUGGGAUUUCCAUGGUUUAGGAGGCAUAAUCCGCAUAUUGACUGGGCUACUGGGACUAUAUUUGGGUGGAGUUCUCACUGUCACGCGGUUUGUUUAAAGCCUGCAUCUGCCAUUACCCGCUCCGUGUUUCCUGAGUCCCCAGAUCUCACUGGCGUACCGGAGGAUUACCACGACGUGAGGGAGGUGUUCAACAAGGCUCGGGCCACCUCACUACCACCUCACCGCCCGUACGAUUGUGCUAUAGACCUCCUUCCGGGACCUCGCCCCCAAGAGGGCGACUAUUCUCUCUGUCGGCCCCUGAGACUAGGACUAUGGAGAAGUACAUCAGCGACUCCUUGGCUUCCGGCCUCAUUAGACCGUCGUCAACCCCGGCCGGCGCUGGGGUUUUUUUGUGAGCAAGAAGGACGGAUCCCUGCGACCCAGGAUUGAUUACAGAGGACUCAAUAACAUCACCAUCAAAAACAGACCCUGCUCGGCAGUUUGUGGUGGAGGUGGAUGCGUCAGACACCGGCGUAGGAGCGGUUCUCUCGCAGCGGUCGUCUACAGAUCAGAAGGUUCACCCAUGCUAAAGCUUGCACUGGAGGAGUGGAGACACUGGCUGGAGGGAGCUGACCAGCCGUUUAUGGUGUGGACUGACCACAAAAACUUAGAGUACAUUCGCUCUGCCAAGCGGUUGAACUCCAGACAGGCAAGGUGGGCCCUAUUUUUUUACCGUUUUGAGUUUACUCUAUCCUACUUCCCGGGCACGAAGAAUGUCAAACCUGAUGCCCUGUCCCGUCAGUACCAGUCCAGGAGCUGCGUUCAGAGUCCGGAGAACAUUCUCUCUCCUGAAUGUGUUGUUGGGGCGGUGACCUGGGAGGUGGAAGAGGAAGUAAAACGGUCCCAUACAGCGCAACCGGCGCCGAGUGCCUGUCCAGAUAACCUUCUGUUUGUCCCAGCGAAUCUGCGUUCGAAGGUCCUGCAGUGGGGUCACUCUUCCCGCCUGGCUUGUCACCCGGGGGUGAUCCGCACGCUAGCUCUGCUUAAACAACGGUUUUGGUGGCCGACUAUGGAGAAGGACGCAAGAGAAUUCGUCGGUGCCUGCAUGAUCUGCGCUCAGCAUAAGGGCUCUCGCAAGGCUCCAUCCGGCCUCCUACAUCCCCUGCCCAUCCCUCAUCGUCCCUAGUCCCACAUUGCUUUGGAUUUUGUAAACGGUCUACCCCCAUCUGAAGGUAACAGUUAUUCUAACGGUAAUUGAUCGCUUCUCCAAGUCUGCUCAACUCAUUCCACUACCUAAGCUGCCUUCUGCUAAAGAGACAGCAGAAUUACUAUUACAGAGAGUGUUCCGCCUGCAUGGUCUGCCCGUCGAGGUGGUCUGCGGAUUACCUGCCUGCCCAUCUGGAAUUGUUUGCCUCCCGACGAAUCUCCCGGUUUUGGACCCAGCCUGAACUUUCAUUAAAACCCCUCUGUCUUGUCCAUCGUGUCCGAGUCGUGCGUUUGGGUUCUCCUGUACUCCGGUACCAGUAACCGUGACAAUUUUAAGCACUUCCUAGACGCUGUACUUUGACGAACUCCUCUCUGGGACAGCCUUUUCAAAUUUGGACAAAACGGUCCCACAGUGAUUAAGUAAAAACUGUUUUUGUGUUACGCUGUUGCCAUGACAACUGGUUAUUCAUAUUCGAAAUGAAGAUGCUUAUGAGGGACUAAAUAUGUUCUAAUCUUUACUAAACUUGAAAAACACAUUAACAGUUAUAGAUGUAGUUACUUCAUAUGAUUUUAAUACUUCCAGACGGCAUUUUGGCUCGAUAGCGCCCCCUACACGUCUUCAUAAAGCAGCCCCAGCAACUGCUGGGAUCUAGGUGCACUCACCAGAAGGCAUCAGCUUUGAUCCAGCUGUACAGAUAUCUCUUCCUUAUCAGCAGAGUGGGCUUGAGAAUAAUUAAUCAAGUUGGUCAAGUUGUUUGUGACUGACAUGAGUGGACAUGUUUACAUACAGGUGUUCCGCAGAGACACAUUCAAUGUGUUCAGUUUGCAAAAUAUAUCUGCCAGACUUCACAAGUUAAUACUUGAGAUUAGCUCAUAUUCUUUGCCUCAACUGAAUGGAGGUGAUCCUACAUAUUUAUUUACCUUUUGCAGGUCUUUGUACAACAAGGCAAGUAGCCAAGUGGUGAGAUAUUCUGUUUACAAAGCCAGACUUCGAAUCCCACACCAGGCACUGAUUUUCUUGUCUUUUUUUUGUCUUUUUGACGGCAUGUCCGGCUGACCGCUGACCCCCCCCCCCGACAUGCAAGGGGAGGCGAAGGCCCGUUCAUCGCUGCUUGCAGCUUUAAUUUCACUUUAACUAUUGCUUCUGCUAGUUAUAAAAUUCUUUAAAAAUGUUAAACUCCAGCCAGUUGACUUUUUAUGACUUCUCUUCACAGAAUGGUUUGUAAUAUUUAACAGAUUUCGUUUUCCAUGAAAUUUUAAUCAAGUCACAGCAAAAGUGUUAAGCCACUGUAUGUCUGACUACGUAG